rnacentral:rRNA from 1 species
AUUGAACGCUGGCGGCAUGCCUUACACAUGCAAGUCGAACGGCAGCACGGGGGCAACCCUGGUGGCGAGUGGCGAACGGGUGAGUAAUAUAUCGGAACGUACCCUGGAGUGGGGGAUAACGUAGCGAAAGUUACGCUAAUACCGCAUACGAUCUAAGGAUGAAAGUGGGGGAUCGCAAGACCUCAUGCUCCUGGAGCGGCCGAUAUCUGAUUAGCUAGUUGGUGGGGUAAAGGCCUACCAAGGCAUCGAUCAGUAGCUGGUCUGAGAGGACGACCAGCCACACUGGGACUGAGACACGGCCCAGACUCCUACGGGAGGCAGCAGUGGGGAAUUUUGGACAAUGGGGGCAACCCUGAUCCAGCAAUGCCGCGUGAGUGAAGAAGGCCUCGGUUGU